GAGGAAGAUCGACCAGAGCUCUCUCUCUCUUCUCUAGGCAUGUGCUCUGAGAAAAGGUCAUCUGAGGACAAAGUACCCGUCUGCAAGCCAGGAAGAGAGCCCUUGCCAGAAACUAAACCCCGCUGGAAACUUGAUUUUGCGCUUUCCAGCCUCUAGAACUAAUAUGUGAAAAACAUUUAAAUCAGAAAGUAAAUGACAGGAUGAUUUGCAAGACACAGGGAUGUAAAAUUAAAAAGCCUCUCGAGCUCCAAAGAAGCAGAUUCUGCUUUGCUCUAUUUGUGAAAGACAACUGGAUGAGUAAAGAUUACUACUUGCAAGGAGACUAGCAAUUUAUCCAAAAUUGGAAACAGAGAAAACGGCAUCUUCUUUUCACUCAUUCUGACUCAAAAUGGGUGUAGGCUAAUCUCCUAGGAAUGGAUUCUAGGACGGCAUCAGCAUUGCCAUAAUAAAUACGCAUUUUAUGAUUA
rnacentral:lncRNA from 1 species